rnacentral:rRNA from 1 species
AUUGAACGCUGGCGGCAGGCCUAACACAUGCAAGUCGAACGAGUGGCGGACGGGUGAGUAAUGUCUGGGAAACUGCCCGAUGGAGGGGGAUAACUACUGGAAACGGUAGCUAAUACCGCAUACCAUCGGAUGUGCCCAGAUGUGAUUAGCAAGUAGGUGGGGUAACGGCUCACCAAGGCCACGAUGCCUAGCCGACCUGAGAGGGUGAUCGGCCCAACUGGGACUGAGACACGGCCCAGACUCCUACGGGAGGCAGCAGUGGGGAAUUUUGGACAAUGGGGGAAACCCUGAUCCAGCCAUCCCGCGUGUGCGAUGAAGGCCUUCGGGUUGUAAAGCACUUUUGGCAGGAAAGCGGUACCUGCAGAAUAAGCACCGGCUAACUACGUGUCAGCAGCCGCGGUAAUAC